rnacentral:rRNA from 1 species
AGUGAACGCUGGCGGCGUGCCUAAUACAUGCAAGUCGAACGGAAUGACGCACGGGUGGGUAAUGUAUAGCUAAUCUGCCCUCCACUAGAGGGCAACAAUUGGAAACGACUGCUAAUAAUCUAUAGUGUAGGUCGAAGGUAGAUGGUAUCAGCUAGUUGGUGAGGUAAUGGCUCACCAAGGCUAUGACCCAUAACUGGUCUGAGAGGAUGAUCAGUAACAUUCGACCGGAGACACGGUCCGGACUCCUACGGGAGGCAGCAGUAGGGAAUAUUGCUCAAUGGGGGGAACCCUGAAGGAGCAACGGCGCGUAGAGUAUGACACUUGUCGGGGCGUAAGCUCCUUUUGUUAGGGAAGCGGUACCUAACGAAUAAGCACCGGCUAACUCCGUGCCAGCCGCCGCGGUAAUUC